AUGAUAGGUCUUUUUUGGAAUUGCAGGGGGGCAGGAAAGAAAGGAAUGAGAACCUGCCUGUCCCAUAUGAUUAAGGACCAUUCCCUUGACUUUCUUUGUCUGCAAGAAACGUUGAAGAAGAAUUUUUUGGAUAGUUAUUUUAGAAAGCUCGACCCUCACAACCUGUUUGAGUGGGGCUGGGUCCCCUCAAUUGGCAAGGCUGGAGGUAUCUUAUGUGGG
rnacentral:rRNA from 1 species